rnacentral:rRNA from 1 species
GAUGAACGCUGGCGGCGUGCCUAAUACAUGCAAGUCGAGCGAACAGACGAGGAGCUUGCUCCUCUGACGGUAGCGGGGGACGGGUGAGUAACAUGGGGAUAACCUACCUAUAAGACUGGGAUAACUUCGGGAAACCGGAGCUAAUACCGGAUAAUAUAUUGAACCGCAUUGGUCAAUAGUUAAAGUCGGUUUUGCUGUCACUUAUAGAUGGAUCCGCGCCGCAUUAGCUAGUUGGUAAGGUAACGGCUUACCAAGGCAACGAUGCGUAGCCGCCCUGAGAGGGUCGUCCGCCACCCUGGAACUGAGAAACGGUACAGACUCCGACGGGGGGCAGCAGCAGAGAAUCUUACGCGAUGGACGAGUGCCUGACGUUGCACCGCCGGCUGAGUGCUGAAGCACUACGGAUCGGAAAACUAUGUUAUUAGGAGAGUAGAAAAGCGUAAGUACCUAUGCACAUCUUGACAGUACCUGGUCAGAAAGCCACGGCUAACUCCGUG